rnacentral:lncRNA from 1 species
GCGCAACAGUGUGCAAUGGCACGCGAUCUGCGGCAAUUGAAUAUUUGCCUUGCAGUCAGACACCAUGUCUGCAUACUAUGCAGUAUCUCUGUCUCUUAUUUGUGAUAAUCGCGAGUUUGGCACAGGAUACGUAUACGCAUCUUUCAGCAAGGCACAACAUGAUUGUCUGUACAAAGCUUUGUACUUAGUUUGUACAUCAACAAACAACACCGUGUGACAUGUGCUAUCAUGGUGCGUGUAGGAUUGCAGUCCAACAUGCACAAAGCUGUCCCUGAGAUUCUCAACCUUGAGAUCAAUCAGAAUGAUUACACGAUGAAUUUUGAGAAUGGCACUCACUUGUCUCAAGCAAAAAGUCUGACACACGUGACAUUUGUACAGCCGGUCACUUAAUGAGGCUCCCACAUGCCCAGCGCAUGUACAGCAUGCUGUGAGCACUCACAAUCACCCUCGGAAUCAUGCACGUGUGGCAAAUUGCAUGUGCCUUUUCGCGCAGGAACAAGUGGCAAACUGCAUAGUUCAAACCGCUUAAAGUUCAGCCAAGUGUGCACAUGUUGCAUGCCAGCCACAUCCUACAACACCCGCUGCUUCCAUAUUCCAACUUUGAGCCAGGCACUUUGCAACCACACAUCCAGUGAAUAUCACUGAUUUAUAGUGAUCCAGAUAUUUGGAUGAGCCCUCACCUGCCAUGGACGGAUGGCAGACCUCGAUGCAGAUCCUCGCUACACUGAACACCGCAGCCAACGCUGAAGAGGUGACUCAUAUGUUAGCAGGUGCCCUUUAGAAGCGCCCAAGUGGCCGAAAGCAGACUGAUAGGAGGGCAGAGAAGCACUUGUGACACCGGGAAACACUGGAGAGGUGAGCACUCAGUAGUAACAGCCUCCCAAUGACCCCUGUGAGAGCCCCACACGAAUGGCUCCGUGAGUAACUUAUUUGCACUUGCGCUUUGCACACACAUACACAGUGCGUCCCACCUCAAUCUGUUAAACACUCAAAAUCUGGUUCUGAAAUAGAUGUCCAAGUUGUGUCAGGAAGCAAUCCACCAACUUCUCUUACAUUGCACCCACAGUAUUGCAACGAGCACCCCUAUGUACAGCAUGUGACUGGAAGCCGACAACACCUUCUUGCUUGAAACACCCACUUCACCCGGUGGCGCCAGCAAGGCAAUAAAAGUAUACCUGUGUCACGCUCUUGAAGUUCAUGCGGAGAGCAGGGCAGAGCAGUGCAAUGGAGAGGAGUGCAGAGCAGACGUGCAAACACUGGUGAGGUUACGGCCCCCUCCUCACAGCAUCCUACUCCUCCCUUUCAGUUGCAUUGAGCCCAGCCCAUGCGCUGCCGCCAGUCAGGCACAGCUGUUCUGCUGACGCCUACUACGCAGGCAGCUGAUAUUGUCCGCUCGUGGCUGAUCUUCAAGGAGACGGGCUGCGGCGGGGUGAGACGCGGCGGGGUGAGACGCUGCGGCGCGGGGGAGUUCCGCUGCACAGGUGCACAAUCUUCUGUCAGAACCGUGGCAGCAGUGUCCGGCGCUCUU